GCCAGGCUCAGUGGCACGUGCCUGUAGUCCCAGCUACUCAGGAGGCUGAGGUGGGAGGAUCUCUUGAGUCCAGGAGUUCUGGGCUAUAGUGUACUGUGACGAUUGGGUGUCUGCACUAAGUUUGGCAUCAAUAUGGUGAUCUCCCGGGAGCAGGGGACCACCAGGUUGCCUAAGGAGGGGUGAACCGGCCCAGGUAUAAAACAGAGCAGGUCAAAAAUUCUGUGUUGAUCAGUAGUGGGAUCGCGCCUGUGAAUAGCCACUGCACUCCAUCCUGGGCAACAUAGCGAGACCCCGUCUCA
rnacentral:SRP_RNA from 1 species